GACACACACACACACUCAAAGAAGGUGUAUCUUUUGUUUUGUUAUGACAUUUCGUUCUAUACUUUUUGAUUUGUGUUCCGUAUGGCGAAUUAAUUCAAAAGAGAAAUGAAAAACGCAUUUAACCGAAACCACUUUAAACGAAAUGGUGGAACAACACACUAAAACCAAACUAAGGAGUCAUCCUCCUCAACCCUCCAUCUCCCAUCGCAGUGAAUGAAAGGGAAAGGGUCUGUAGUCAGUAGUGUGCCAACAUAUGGACAAACAACAACAAAAACAACAAACAAACAAUCCAAAUCAAAUAUCUUCUAUUAAAAACUAUUAACCACAAACAAACAACAAAACCAAGAGCCAAAUAUUUACAUUUAAGAUUAUGUUUAAAACAAAGUGUAUGAAAGAAGCGAAACAUUUGUACUUUAAGUCAGCACACAACAAGCAAAGUACCAAGUAACUAUCAACAGCAAACAGCAGCAAACAUGCAACAUGCAACAUGCAACAUUAUGUUUAAUUCACGAACCUCUCCAUCGCAACAGACACGCAAAACAAACAACAAACA